rnacentral:rRNA from 1 species
GUGAGGAAUAUUGCGCAAUGGAGGCAACUCUGACGCAGCCAUGCCGCGUGCAGGAAGAAGGCGCUACGCGUUGUAAACUGCUUUUAACCGGGAAGAAACCCCAGGACGUGUCCUGGGUUGACGGUACCGGAGGAAUAAGCACCGGCUAACUUCGUGCCAGCAGCCGCGGUAAUACGAAGGGUGCAAGCGUUAUCCGGAUUCAUUGGGUUUAAAGGGUGCGUAGGUGGAGCGUUAAGUCAGUGGUGAAAUCCUGCAGCUUAACUGUAGACUUGCCAUUGAUACUGGCGCACUUGAGUGCGGUUGAAGUGGGCGGAAUGUGCCGUGUAGCGGUGAAAUGCUUAGAUAUGGCACAGAACACCAAUUGCGAAGGCAGCUCACUAAGGCGAUACUGACGCUGAGGCACGAAAGCGUGGGGAUCGAACAGGAUUAGAUACCCGUGUAGUCC